UACAGAGGGUGCGAGCGUUGUUCGGAAUUAUUGGGCGUAAAGCGCUUGUAGGCGGCACGUCAAGUCGCGUGUGAAAUCCCCAGGCUUAACCUGGGAAGUGCGCGCGAAACUGACGAGCUUGAGUGCCGGAGAGGGUCGCGGAAUUCCCGGUGUAGAGGUGAAAUUCGUAGAUAUCGGGAGGAACACCAGUGGCGAAGGCGGCG
rnacentral:rRNA from 1 species